AUUGAACGCUGGCGGCAGGCCUAACACAUGCAAGUCGAACGAGUGGCGGACGGGUGAGUAAUGUCUGGGAAACUGCCAGAUGGAGGGGGAUAACUACUGGAAACGGUAGCUAAUACCGCAUACCAUCGGAUGAGCCCAGAUGGGAUUAGCUAGUAGGUGGGGUAACGGCUCACCUAGGCGACGAUCCCUCGCUGGUCUGAGAGGAUGACCAACCACACUGGAACUGAGACACGGUCCAGACUCCUACGGUGGGCAUCAGUGGGGAAUAUGGCACAAUGGGCGCAAUCCUGAUGCAGCCAGGCCGCGUGUAUGAAGAAGGCCUUCGGGUUGUAAAGUACUUUCAGCGAGGAGGCGUUACUCGCAGAAGAAGCACCGGCUAACUCCGUGCCAGCAGCCGCGGUAAUAC
rnacentral:rRNA from 1 species